AACUCUGAUCCAGCCAUGCAGCGUGCAGGAAGAAUGCCCUAUGGGUUGUAAACUGCUUUUAUACAGGAAGAAACUUUUCCACGUGUGGAAAACUGACGGUACUGUACGAAUAAGGAUCGGCUAACUCCGUGCCAGCAGCCGCGGUAAUACGGAGGAUCCAAGCGUUAUCCGGAAUUAUUGGGUUUAAAGGGUCCGCAGGCGGUUUAUUAAGUCAGAGGUGAAAUCCUACCGCUCAACGGUAGAAUUGCCUUUGAUACUGAUAGACUUGAGUUAUUGUGAAGUAGUUAGAAUGUGUAGUGUAGCGGUGAAAUGCAUAGAUAUUACACAGAAUACCAAUUGCGAAGGCAGAUUACUAACAAUACACUGACGCUGAGGGACGAAAGCGUGGGUAGCGAACAGGAUUAGAUACCCUGGUAGUCCACGCCGUAAACGAUGGUCACUAGCUGUUUGAUCAACAUUGGUUGGUUGAGUGGCUAAGCGAAAGUGAUAAGUGACCCACCUGGGGAGUACGGUCGCAAGACUGAAACUCAAAGGAAUUGACGGGGGCCCGCACAAGCGGUGGAGCAUGUGGUUUAAUUCGAUGAUACGCGAGGAACCUUACCAGGGCUUAAAUGUAAGUUGCAUGAUUCAGAGAUGAAUCUUUCUUCGGACUACUUACAAGGUGCUGCAUGGUUGUCGUCAGCUCGUGCCGUGAGGUGUCAGGUUAAGUCCUAUAACGAGCGCAACCCCUAUCGUUAGUUGCCAGCGGGUAAUGCCGGGUACUCUAACGAGACUGCCAGUGCAAACUGUGAGGAAGGUGGGGAUGACGUCAAAUCAUCACGGCCCUUACGUCCUGGGCUACACACGUGCUACAAUGGCCGGUACA
rnacentral:rRNA from 1 species